rnacentral:snRNA from 1 species
GGAUGUGAGGGCGAUCUGGCUGCGACAUCUGUCACCCCAUUGAUCGCCAGGGUUGAUUCGGCUGAUCUGGCUGGCUAGGCGGGUGUCCCCUUCCUCCCUCACCAAUCCAUGUGAGUCCCUCCCGAAGCUGCGCACUUGGUCGAAGAGGGCGACCUUCCCCCCAGAGGAGAGUACUGGUCUUCGGUCAAGGGUAUACGAGUAGCUGCGCUCCCCUGCUAGAACCUCCAAACAAGCUCUCAAGGUCCAUUUGUAGGCGAACGUAGGGUAGUCAAGCUUUCAAGACUCCAGACACAUCCAAAUGAGGCGCUGCACUUGGCAGUCUGCCUUUCUUU